CUGACGCGGCCCCACGGCCUCGGCGGUAGUGGCACCGGCGGAACGAACUUGACUGCGUGUGUGUUUGUGCGUGAGUGUGAGUGUGUGUCAUAGCGGAUUCGUUGGCCAUUGAUUGGCUUUCUCUGACAGUGCGUGCGUGUGCUACGCGAAACAGUGGACUGUCUUUUUGUUUUUCUGUCGCCCAACUUUUCGAUUGUCUUUUUUUUUUCAAUUUGUGAAAUCGGGCCACCGCAUCACUGACGUCGUGGCUUCACUGCUGCGACGCCUCGACCAUGCGGUGCCAAGCUUCACGGCGGGGACGCGGUGCAAGGAUUUUCCGCCCCAUUUGCAUAUCAACGAAAUGGAGGGCGCGCCAGGCCGGGCCGGGCCAGGCCGGGCCGAGACGGGCGGGGGC